rnacentral:misc_RNA from 1 species
AAGUCGUAACAAGGUUUCCGUAGGUGAACCUGCGGAAGGAUCAUUACCGAGAUGGGGUCCUUCGGGGGCCCGACCUCCCACCCAUUGUCUACGAAUCUCUGUUGCCUCGGCGGGACGUCGACGUCCGCAAGGACGCUCGCCGUCGGUCUCGCGGCCCUCGAGUGCCCGCCGGUGGGAUACACAAAACUCUUCAAGCCAGUAUUCUGAGCAAGUUAUAAUACUCAAAA